rnacentral:rRNA from 5 species
CACACGACUCUCGGCAACGGAUAUCUCGGCUCUCGCAUCGAUGAAGAACGUAGCAAAAUGCGAUACCUGGUGUGAAUUGCAGAAUCCCGCGAACCAUCGAGUUUUUGAACGCAAGUUGCGCCCGAGGCCUUCUGGUUGAGGGCACGUCUGCCUGGGCGUCACGC